AAGUAGUGCACUAGGGGCCUGGUAGAAAGUAGUGCACUAGGGUUCUGGUUAAAGUAGUGCACUAGGGGCCUGGUAGAAGUAGUGCACUAGGGGCCUGGUAGAAAGUAGUGCACUAGGGUCCUGGUAGAAAGUAGUGCACUAGGGUCCUGGUAGAAAGUAGUGCACUAGGGGCCUGGUAGAAAGUAGUGCACUAGGGUCCUGGUUAAAGUAGUGCACUAGGGGCCUGGUAGAAAUUAGUGCACUAGGGUCCUGGUAGAAAGUAGUGCACUAGGGUCCUGGUAGAAAGUAGUGCACUAGGGUCCUGGUAGAAAGUAGUGCACUAGGGUCCUGGUAGAAAGUAGUGCACUAGGGGCCUGGUAGAAAGUAGUGCACUAUUAACGGAAUAUGGUGCCAUUUGUGACUCAUGCUACAUGUGCCGAUGUCUCUUUAGAUAAAUAUCUUAUAUUUUUACAACAUGUCCUUUGUUGUCCAAUAGAACGAUGAUGAACUAGUUCUGCAUGUUACCACAUGUCCAUUAUUAUCCAAUGGAACGAUGAUGAACUAGUUCUGCAUGUUACCACAUGUCCAUUAUUAUCCAAUGGAACGAUGAUGAACUAGUUCUGCAUGUUACCACAUGUCCAUUAUUAUCCAAUGGAACGAUGAUGAACUAGUUCUGCAUGUUACCACAUGUCAAUUAUUAUCCAAUGGAACGAUGAUGAACUAGUUCUGCAUGUUACCACAUGUCCAUUAUUAUCCAAUGGAACGAUGAUGAACUAGUUCUGCAUGUUACCACAUGUCCAUUAUUAUCCAAUGGGACGAUGAUGAACUAUUUCUGCAUGUUUCCAACCAGGGAAAGAGAAACUGUAGAUAACUGCCAUGAUUAAAAAAAGUCAUGAGAUGUUCAGGGGUUAUUUUAGACAGCGUCAGACAUUAUCAACACCCACAGAGAGCUGGGGUCUUUAGACAGGGUCAGACAUUAUCAACACCCACAGAGAGCUGGGGUCUUUAGACAGGGUCAGACAUUAUCAACACCCACAGAGAGCUGGGGUCUUUAGACAGGGUCAGACAUUAUCAACACCCACAGAGAGCUGGGGUCUUUAGACAGGGUCAGACAUUAUCAACACCCACAGAGAGCUGGGGUCUUUAGACAGGGUCAGACAUUAUCAACACCCACAGAGAGCUGGGGUCUUUAGACAGGGUCAGACAUUAUCAACACCCACAGAGAGCUGGAGUCUUUAGACAGGGUCAGACAUUAUCAACACCCACAGAGAGCUGGGGUCUUUAGACAGGGUCAGACAUUAUCAACACCCACAGAGAGCUGGGGUCUUUAGACAGGGUCAGACAUUAUCAACACCCACAGAGAGCUGGGGUCUUUAGACAGGGUCAGACAUUAUCAACACCCACAGAGAGCUGGGGUCUUUAGACAGGGUCAGACAUGAUCAAUGACAUCCCUGGAGCAAUUGAGGUUGAGUGCCUUGCUCAAGGGCACACAGACAAAUGCUUCACCUUGUCUGCUCCUGGAGUUGAACUAGCGACCUUACGAAUCCCAGCCUGUGUGUGUCUAUACAGUAUUGGAUUGAAUCCCAGCCUGUGUGUCUGUCUAUACAGUAUUGGAUUGAAUCCCAGCCUGUGUGUCUGUCUGUACAGUAUUGGAUUGAAUCCCAGCCAAUGUGUCUGUCUGUACAGUAUUGGAUUGAAUCCCAGCCAAUGUGUCUGUCUAUACAGUAUUGGAUUGAAUCCCAGUCUGUGUGUCUGUCUAUACAGUAUUGGAUUGAAUCCCAGCCUGUCUGUCUGUCUAUACAGUAUUGGAUUGAAUCCCAGCCUAUGUGUCUGUCUGUACAGUGUUGGAUGGAAUCCCAGUCUGUGUGUGUCUAUACAGUAUUGGAUUGAAUCCCAGCCUAUGUGUCUGUCUGUACAGUAUUGGAUUGUAUCCCAACCUAUGUGUCUAUACAGUAUUGGAUUGAAUCCCAGCCUGUCCUGUGUGUGUGUAUACAGUACUGGAUUGAAUCCCAGCCUGUGUGUCUGUCUAUACAGUAUUGGAUUGAAUCCCAGCCUGUGUGUGUCUAUACAGUAUUGGAUUGAAUCCCAGCCUGUGUGUGUGUAUACAGUAUUGGAUUGAAUCCCAGCCUGUGUGUCUGUCUGUACAGUAUUGGAUUGAAUCCCAGCCUGUGUGUCUGUCUGUACAGUAUUGGAUUGAAUCCCAGCCUGUGUGUCUGUCUGUACAGUAUUGGAUUGAAUCCCAGCCUAUGUGUCUGUCUGUACAGUAUUGGAUUGAAUCCCAGCCUGUGUGUCUGUCUAUACAGUAUUGGAUUGAAUCCCAGCCAGUGUGUGUCUAUACAGUAAUGGAUUGAAUCCCAGCCUAUGUGUCUGUCUGUACAGUGUUGGAUUGAAUCCCAGUCUGUGUGUCUAUACAGUAUUGGAUUAAAUCCCAGCCUGUGUGUGUCUAUACAGUAUUGGAUUGAAUCCCAGCCUAUGUGUCUGUCUGUACAGUAUUGGAUUGAAUCCCAGCCUAUGUGUCUGUCUGUACAGUAUUGGAUUGAAUCCCAGCCUGUGUGUCUGUCUAUACAGUAUUGGUUUGAAUCCCAGCCUGUGUGUGUCUAUACAGUAUUGGAUUGAAUCCCAGCCUAUGUGUCUGUCUGUACAGUAUUGGAUUGAAUCCCAGUCUCCUGUCUGUCUAUACAGUAUUGGAUUGUAUCCCAACCUAUGUGUCUAUACAGUAUUGGAUUGAAUCCCAGCCUAUGUGUCUGUACAGUAUUGGAUUGAAUCCCAGCCUAUGUGUCUAUACAGUAUUGGAUUGAAUCCCA
ensembl:lncRNA